AGGCUUAACACAUGCAAGUCGAGGGGCAGCGAGGAAGUGGCAACACUUCCGUCGGCGACCGGCGCACGGGUGAGUAACGCGUAUGCAACCUGCCCUUCACAGGGGGAUAACCGGGAGAAAUUCCGACUAAUACCGCAUACGUCCUCCGGGGGCAUCCCCGGGGGAUGAAAGAAUUAUCGGUGAAGGAUGGGCAUGCGUGAUAUUAGGUAGUUGGCGGGGCAACGGCCCACCAAGCCCACGAUAUCUAGGGGUUCUGAGAGGAAGGUCCCCCACAUUGGUACUGAGACACGGACCAAACUCCUACGGGAGGCAGCAGUGAGGAAUAUUGGUCAAUGGACGAGAGUCUGAACCAGCCAAGUCGCGUGAAGGAAGACGGAUCUAUGGUUUGUAAACUUCUUUAGUGCGGGAACAAAGCGGUGUCGUGACGCCGGAUGAGUGUACCGCAAGAAUAAGCAUCGGCUAACUCCGUGCCAGCAGCCGCGGUAAUACGGAGGAUGCGAGCGUUAUCCGGAUUUAUUGGGUUUAAAGGGAGCGCAGGCUGCGAGGCAAGUCAGCGGUCAAAUGUCGGGGCUCAACCCCGGCCUGCCGUUGAAACUGUCCUGCUAGAGUUCGAGUGAGGUAUGCGGAAUGCGUUGUGUAGCGGUGAAAUGCAUAGAUAUGACGCAGAACUCCGAUUGCGAAGGCAGCAUACCAACUCGCGACUGACGCUGAGGCUCGAAAGCGUGGGUAUCGAACAGGAUUAGAUACCCUGGUAGUCCACGCAGUAAACGAUGAAUACUAACUGUUCGGAGGGCGACCUCUGAGUGGUAAAGCGAAAGCGUUAAGUAUUCCACCUGGGGAGUACGCCGGCAACGGUGAAACUCAAAGGAAUUGACGGGGGCCCGCACAAGCGGAGGAACAUGUGGUUUAAUUCGAUGAUACGCGAGGAACCUUACCCGGGCUCAAACGUCGGGCGAAUCAUCCUGAAAGGGGUGAGCCAGCAAUGGCGGCCGACGAGGUGCUGCAUGGUUGUCGUCAGCUCGUGCCGUGAGGU
rnacentral:rRNA from 1 species